UGUAUGGAGAAGUGAAGUCAUCUCUCAUUUCAUUUUUGAGACCGGAGCAACAUGUGAAUGCUCCACCUCUGAUAGCAGAUCUCAGUCAGCCUUUAUGCUGGAAUUGUAAACUUAAGAUGAAAACAUUUGUGAGUUUAUUUGUCACUGUUGCACAGAUCUUGGCUUAAGGAUGUCUCCAGCUUUAUACACAUUGGGAUUUUUACUGCUUUUGCUUACAAGAAAAGUGGAGAGCGUUUCCUUUGAGCAGUCCUCUUCUCAGGUUGUGAAGGCCGGUACUGAAGAGCUCAGGAUCAGCUGCAGUCAUGAUGACAGCAACCUCCAGGUGAUGUUGUGGUACCAACACAGAGAGAGCGGUCGGUCCAUGAGCCUCAUCGGCUACACGGUCCUCAAGGGGGAACCGAGCUACGAGGAGCAGUUCAAAGACUCCCGGUUCCAGAUAAAGGCUGAAGACACAAGGAAAGGAUCUCUGAUCAUUCGCUCAGUGAACUCAUCAGACUCAGCGGUGUAUUUCUGCGCUGCCAGCACACAGUGAUGUGGUUCAAUGCCACUGCUUCACUCAAAACCUGCUGCGACUCAUAGCAGCUGCUGAACAGGAGUUUAUUUGGAAAAUAUGAUGCU